GGUUAAGCGACUAAGCGUACACGGUGGAUGCCCUGGCAGUCAGAGGCGAUGAAGGACGUGCUAAUCUGCGAAAAGCGUCGGUAAGGUGAUAUGAACCGUUACAGCCGGCGAUGUCCGAAUGGGGAAACCCAGUGUGAUUCGUCACACUAUCGUUAACUGAAUACAUAGGUUAACGAGGCGAACCGGGGAACUGAAACAUCUAAGUACCCCGAGGAAAAGAAAUCAACCGAGAUUCCCCCAGUAGCGGCGAGCGAACGGGGAGCAGCCCAGAGUCUGAAUCAGCUUGUGUGUUAGUGGAACGGUCUGGAAAGUCCGACGGUACAGGGUGAUAGUCCCGUACACCAAAAUGCACAGGCUGUGAACUCGAAGAGUAGGGCGGGACACGUGGUAUCCUGUCUGAAUAUGGGGGACCAUCCUCCAAGGCUAAAUACUCCUGACUGACCGAUAGUGAACCAGUACCGUGAGGGAAAGGCGAAAAGAACCCCGGCGAGGGGAGUGAAAAAGAACCUGAAACCGUGUACGUACAAGCAGUGGGAGCACCUUCGGGUGUGACUGCGUACCUUUUGUAUAAUGGGUCAGCGACUUAUAUUCUGUAGCAAGGUUAACCGUAUAGGGGAGCCGCAGGGAAACCGAGUCUUAACUGGGCGUUAAGUUGCAGGGUAUAGACCCGAAACCCGGUGAUCUAGCCAUGGGCAGGUUGAAGGUUGGGUAACACUAACUGGAGGACCGAACCGACUAAUGUUGAAAAAUUAGCGGAUGACUUGUGGCUGGGGGUGAAAGGCCAAUCAAACCGGGAGAUAGCUGGUUCUCCCCGAAAGCUAUUUAGGUAGCGCCUCGUGAAUUCAUCUUCGGGGGUAGAGCACUGUUUCGGCUAGGGGGUCAUCCCGACUUACCAACCCGAUGCAAACUACGAAUACCGAAGAAUGUUAUCACGGGAGACACACGGCGGGUGCUAACGUCCGUCGUGAAGAGGGAAACAACCCAGACCGCCAGCUAAGGUCCCAAAGUCAUGGUUAAGUGGGAAACGAUGUGGGAAGGCACAGACAGCCAGGAUGUUGGCUUAGAAGCAGCCAUCAUUUAAAGAAAGCGUAAUAGCUCACUGGUCGAGUCGGCCUGCGCGGAAGAUGUAACGGGGCUAAACCAUGCACCGAAGCUGCGGCAGCGACACUAUGUGUUGUUGGGUAGGGGAGCGUUCUGUAAGCCUGCGAAGGUGACCUGUGAGGGUUGCUGGAGGUAUCAGAAGUGCGAAUGCUGACAUAAGUAACGAUAAAGCGGGUGAAAAGCCCGCUCGCCGGAAGACCAAGGGUUCCUGUCCAACGUUAAUCGGGGCAGGGUGAGUCGACCCCUAAGGCGAGGCCGAAAGGCGUAGUCGAUGGGAAACAGGUUAAUAUUCCUGUACUUGGUGUUACUGCGAAGGGGGACGGAGAAGGCUAUGUUAGCCGGGCGACGGUUGUCCCGGUUUAAGCAUGUAGGCUGGUUGUCCAGGCAAAUCCGGAUAAUCAAGGCUGAGGUGUGAUGACGAGGCACUACGGUGCUGAAGUAACAAAUGCCCUGCUUCCAGGAAAAGCCUCUAAGCAUCAGGUAACAUCAAAUCGUACCCCAAACCGACACAGGUGGUCAGGUAGAGAAUACCAAGGCGCUUGAGAGAACUCGGGUGAAGGAACUAGGCAAAAUGGUGCCGUAACUUCGGGAGAAGGCACGCUGGUGUGUAGGUGAAGUCCCUGCGGAUGGAGCUGAGACCAGUCGAAGAUACCAGCUGGCUGCAACUGUUUAUUAAAAACACAGCACUGUGCAAACACGAAAGUGGACGUAUACGGUGUGACGCCUGCCCGGUGCCGGAAGGUUAAUUGAUGGGGUUAUCCGUAAGGAGAAGCUCUUGAUCGAAGCCCCGGUAAACGGCGGCCGUAACUAUAACGGUCCUAAGGUAGCGAAAUUCCUUGUCGGGUAAGUUCCGACCUGCACGAAUGGCGUAAUGAUGGCCAGGCUGUCUCCACCCGAGACUCAGUGAAAUUGAACUCGCUGUGAAGAUGCAGUGUACCCGCGGCAAGACGGAAAGACCCCGUGAACCUUUACUAUAGCUUGACACUGAACAUUGAGCCUUGAUGUGUAGGAUAGGUGGGAGGCUUUGAAGCGUGGACGCCAGUCUGCGUGGAGCCAACCUUGAAAUACCACCCUUUAAUGUUUGAUGUUCUAACGUUGGCCCCUUACCGGGGUUGCGGACAGUGUCUGGUGGGUAGUUUGACUGGGGCGGUCUCCUCCCAAAGCGUAACGGAGGAGCACGAAGGUUAGCUAAUCCUGGUCGGACAUCAGGAGGUUAGUGCAAUGGCAUAAGCUAGCUUGACUGCGAGCGUGACGGCGCGAGCAGGUGCGAAAGCAGGUCAUAGUGAUCCGGUGGUUCUGAAUGGAAGGGCCAUCGCUCAACGGAUAAAAGGUACUCCGGGGAUAACAGGCUGAUACCGCCCAAGAGUUCAUAUCGACGGCGGUGUUUGGCACCUCGAUGUCGGCUCAUCACAUCCUGGGGCUGAAGUAGGUCCCAAGGGUAUGGCUGUUCGCCAUUUAAAGUGGUACGCGAGCUGGGUUUAGAACGUCGUGAGACAGUUCGGUCCCUAUCUGCCGUGGGCGCUGGAGAAUUGAGGGGGCUGCUCCUAGUACGAGAGGACCGGAGUGGACGCAUCACUGGUGUUCGGGUUGUCAUGCCAAUGGCACUGCCCGGUAGCUAAAUGCGGAAGAGAUAAGUGCUGAAAGCAUCUAAGCACGAAACUUGCCCCGAGAUGAGUUCUCCCUGAGACUUUAAGUCUCCUGAAGGAACGUUAAAGACGAUGACGUUGAUAGGCCGGGUGUGUAAGCGCAGCGAUGCGUUGAGCUAACCGGUACUAAUGAACCGUGAGGCUUAACCUU
rnacentral:rRNA from 1 species